rnacentral:tRNA from 2 species
CUUUAGCUAAGUUGGUAGAGCAGUAGACUCUUAAUCUAUGGGGCGCAGGUUCGAGCCCUUGUAGG